rnacentral:rRNA from 1 species
GCAUUUUGUCAUGCAGUCGAGCGCAGGAAGCGAGCUGAUCCCCUUCGGGGGUGACGCUCGUGGAAUGAGCGGCGGACGGGUGAGUAACACGUGGGCAACCUGCCUGUAAGAUCGGAAUAACUCCGGGAAACCGGAGCUAAUGCCGGGUAACAUGUUCCUUCGCAUGAAGGAACAUUAAAAGAUGGCUUCUCGCUAUCACUUACAGAUGGGCCCGCGGCGCAUUAGCUAGUUGGUGAGGUAACGGCUCACCAAGGCAACGAUGCGUAGCCGACCUGAGAGGGUGAUCGGCCACACUGGGACUGAGACACGGCCCAGACUCCUACGGGAGGCAGCAGUAGGGAAUCUUCCGCAAUGGACGAAAGUCUGACGGAGCAACGCCGCGUGAACGAUGAAGGUCUUCGGAUCGUAAAGUUCUGUUGUUAGGGAAGAACAAGUACCGUGCGAAUAGAGCGGUACCUUGACGGUACCUAACGAGGAAGCCCCGGCUAACUACGUGCCAGCAGCCGCGGUAAUACGUAGGGGGCAAGCGUUGUCCGGAAUUAUUGGGCGUAAAGCGCGCGCAGGCGGUUCCUUAAGUCUGAUGUGAAAGGCCACGGCUCAACCGUGGAGGGCCAUUGGAAACUGGGGAACUUGAGGACAGAAGAGGAGAGUGGAAUUCCACGUGUAGCGGUGAAAUGCGUAGAUAUGUGGAGGAACACCAGUGGCGAAGGCGACUCUCUGGUCUGUUUCUGACGCUGAGGUGCGAAAGCGUGGGUAGCAAACAGGAUUAGAUACCCUGGUAGUCCACGCCGUAAACGAUGAGUGCUAGGUGUUAGGGGGCUUCCACCCCUUAGUGCUGAAGUUAACGCAU